rnacentral:rRNA from 1 species
UACGUAGGGGGCGAGCGUUGUCCGGAUUUAUUGGGCGUAAAACGCUUGUAGGCGGCCACAUCGCGUCGGACGUGAAAUCUCCCGGCUCAACUGGGAGGGGUCGUGCGAUACGGAUGGGCUCGAGGCCGGUAGGGGGACGCGGAAUUCCCGGUGUAGCGGUGAAAUGCGUAGAUAUUGGGAGGAACACCAGUGGCGAAGGCGGCUCACUGGACCGGUACUGACGCUGAUGCGCGAAAGCGUGGGGAGCAAACGGG